GUCAGCUAUACACCGUAUACAACGCGUCUUUCCCGACUAAAAUAUCCAAAAAUAACAUAUGUCUGAAAGAUUUCAAUGCCAAUUAUUGAAACAGCUAUACGUAUUAUGCACACACAGUGGCCUUCUAUCAGAAAAAUAGUUGUAAUGAAUAUAGAAUCAUAUGGAAUGAGACGAGCGCCAUCUUCUUUGUCAAGUAUUUGCAACUAUUUUUAGUAAGUGUUCUUGUUUUGAGAAAAUAAUAAGACUUUCC
rnacentral:lncRNA from 1 species